rnacentral:tRNA from 1 species
UCCGAUAUGGUGUAGUGGCUAACAUCGCUCGCUUUCAAUUCGAUUCCUCCCAAGAAUCGGAAUGGUACCGAGCAGCCCCGGGUUCGAUUCCCGGUGUCGGAA